rnacentral:rRNA from 1 species
UACGUAGGCAGCAAGCGUUGUUCGGAAUUACUGGGCGUAAAGAGUGUGUAGGCGGUGUUCUAAGUCUGUUGUGAAAUCUCCCGGCUUAAACUGGGAGGGUGCGGCGGAAACUGGAAUGCUAGAGGAUGGGAGAGGUAAGCGGAAUUCCUGGUGUAGCGGUGAAAUGCGUAGAUAUCAGGAGGAACACCUGUGGUGUAGACAGCUUACUGGACCAUUUCUGACGCUGAGACACGAAAGCGUGGGUAGCAAACAGG